rnacentral:tRNA from 2 species
CGUGCGGUGGAGCAGUGGAAGCUCGUCGGGCUCAUAACCCGAAGGUCGUUGGUUCGAAUCCAACCCGCACAA